UGCUUAUCGAGAGUGACCGAGGGAAUGGCCCGAUGACGUCCGGCAACCUCCAAUGAGGAAGGUGCCAAGUCCAGCAGAAUGCAACAAUUCUGAAAGAUAAGUC
rnacentral:ncRNA from 2 species